rnacentral:rRNA from 1 species
UACAGAGGUCCCGAGCGUUGUUCGGAUUCACUGGGCGUAAAGGGUGCGUAGGUGGUGAGGUAAGUCGGAUGUGAAAUCUCCGGGCUCAACCCGGAAACUGCAUUGGAAACUACCUUGCUGGAGGGUUUGAGGGGGGACUGGAAUUCUCGGUGUAGCAGUGAAAUGCGUAGAUAUCGAGUGGAACACCGGUGGCGAAGGCGGGUCUCUGGGCCGAUACUGACGCUGAGGAGCGAAAGCGUGGGGAGCGAACAGG